rnacentral:misc_RNA from 1 species
UCGUAACAAGGUUUCCGUAGGUGAACCUGCGGAAGGAUCAUUAAAAAUAAUCACAGUUUUGUGAUUUUAAUAAUCAUCCUACCCUUUGUGAAUUUGUUUUGUAAAGAAAUUUAUGUUGUCUAUCCCUGGUGUUUUUGGAAAAGUUGAAAAACUUUUCGAAUCCUCAGGGACUAGGCUUUCAUAGACCUUUUUUAAAUUAAACUUUUCGUAUUCAUUGUCUAAAAUUUAUUUUAAUAAUUUAAAACAACUUUUGACAAUGGAUCUCUUGGUUCUCGCAACGAUGAAGAACGCAGCAAAAUGCGAUAAGUAAUGUGAAUUGCAGAAUACGUGAAUCAUCAAAUCUUCGAACGCAUAUUGCACUUUUCUAGUUUACUAGAAAAGUAUGUCUGUUUGAGUAUCAGUAAAAUAUUCUCAUAAAAAACAUUGUUUUUUAUGGUUAUGAGUGUUUUACAACGAUAAACAAGUUGUUUCACUUUAAAUUGAUUUUCAAAAGCCAAUUUGGUUUUAUCUAAUAAAAUUGGAUAAAAUUUUCCCGUAAAAGGAAUAAACUUUUCAGUUUUAAAAGAUAAAACUUUUAAUUGAGCCUAAUUAAAAGGAAAUUUAACUAAAUAACUUGAUCUCAAAUCAGAUAAGAGUACCCGCUGAACUUAAGCAUAUCAAUAAGCGGAGGAAAAGAAACUAACAAGGAUUCCCUUAGUAACGGCGAGUGAAGCGGGAAGAGCUCAAAUUUGAAAUCUUCAAGGUUCUACCUUGACGAAUUGUAGUUUAUAGAAGUGUUUUCUGUUAGUGGAGUGGCAAAAGUUCUUUGGAAUAGGACAUCAUAGAGGGUGAGAAUCCCGUAUUUGGUCAUUCCUCCUAGCGUUGUGAUACACUUUCAACGAGUCGGAUUGUUUGGGAAUGCAGUCCAAAAUGGGUGGUAAAUUUCAUCUAAAGCUAAAUAUGGCGAGAGACCGAUAGCGAACAAGUACCGUGAGGGAAAGAUGAAAAGAACUUUGAAAAGAGAGUUAAACAGUACGUGAAAUUGUCAAAAGGGAAGCGUUUGACACCAGUGUUGUUUUUCCGAAAAUCAAUUACGAAUGUUUUAUUUUUGAGGAGUUAUGACUUCAUCGGCUUGCUCCUUUCUUUACGAAACUUUCUUAAUGCACUUUUCGGUUAACAAGUCAACAUCAAUUUCUUUUGUUGUAAAAGGGUAUGAGGAAGGUGGCUUUCUUUUCGGAGAAAGUGUUUAUAGCCUUGUGCCUCUGCAAUCGGAGAGAUUGAGGUCUGCAGCGUAGAUCCUUCGGGGUUAGAUACGUUUGUGCUAAGUAUAGCUUUUCAUAGACAACUUGUUGACUAUGUUUAGUCUUGUAGCUUACUCGCUGACGCUAUUUUACCUACGCUUAGGAUGUUGAC